UCUGAUCUACGAAGUGUUUUUUUCCGAGUUUACUGUAAGUAAACUGAUUGUUUUCUGUUUCCAAGUGGUCGAGCGCUUUUGUUUACAUAAUUUAAUUGAUUCAAGAUGGCGGACCGAUCAGCUGAGUGGCGUAUUUCAUCGAUGUGGAACGAUCUCAGGCGGAUUGGAAUGAGACAAAUCACAGACGAAAAUGAAUUGGAUGAACUGAUUAUUGAUUAUUUCAAUGCAAGACCUAUUGAUUGUGAAGACAGUAGAUUCUAGUUUGGAGGAGGAGACACAUGAUGAACCAAUUACGACGACGACCGUGGCCGUGACACACCCACACACACCCACACCCCCCUGCUCAUGACCAAGAUCUGGAAUCUGGAACUUCAUGAAGAAGAAGUCCUGGUUCCUGUUCAACCAAUUGGCAUAACAUCAUCAGAAGGUGCAAUUGCUGUCCUAUCAUGCUCCCAGUGAAGCAGAUCCAACAACAAAAUGAUGCUGACCAGUCCAGUAUUGCUGAAGGUAAUGCCUCUCUCAAUGGAAUUGAAUAAUAGACUAGGGCUACUACUACUACAAUUUAUAUUGAUGCUAACACCUGCUUUAAAUUUCUUGAUUCAUUUACAAAGCAGAAAAUAAUCGAUCUUACAUACUUUUUAGCUUUAAUUAUUCGACUUGAAAAGAACCAUGAGAGAUGCUGCACCACACUAACUUGUAUUGUUGAAGGUGAUGCCUCUCAAUUAAAUUAAAUAUUAUAGCAUUAUAGUUCAGUGUGAUGCUGACUCUUGCUUUAAAUUUUAAAAUUCCUUUACAAA